GAGGUUGAAAUGAAUGCAAUAUGAAAGCAAACAGCACGUCCGGGGGGCUACCAAAGCGAACAUUUCGACUAUGAUACCCGGGUGUGCCCAGUUGGCCUGAGCAGCACAGUACUACUGAAAAUAUAUGUUUCUUGGAGAUACACCAUGUCUAAUCGCCAAACCGGCACCGUUAAAUGGUUCAACGAUGAAAAAGGCUUCGGCUUCAUCACUCCUCAAGGUGGCGGUGACGACCUGUUCGUACACUUCAAAGCUAUCGAAUCCGACGGUUUCAAAAGCCUGAAAGAAGGCCAGACCGUCUCCUUCGUGGCUGAGAAAGGCCAAAAGGGUAUGCAAGCUGCACAAGUUCGCCCAGAGUAAUUUCCCGGCGCACUAAAAAAACCCCGUCCAUGUGACGGGGUUUUUUAU
rnacentral:sRNA from 1 species